GACGAACGCUGGCGGCGUGCUUAACACAUGCAAGUCGAACGGAAAGGCCCUGCUUGCAGGGUGCUCGAGUGGCGAACGGGUGAGUAACACGUGGGUGAUCUGCCCCUUACUUUGGGAUAAGCCUGGGAAACUGGGUCUAAUACUGGAUAGGACCAUGCUGUAGGUGGUGUGGUGGAAAGAUUAGUUUCGGUAAGGGAUGAGCUCGCGGCCUAUCAGCUUGUUGGUGGGGUAAUGGCCUACCAAGGCGUCGACGGGUAGCCGGCCUGAGAGGGGGGACGGCCACAUUGGGACUGAGAUACGGCGCAGACGCCUACGGGAGGCAGCAGUGGGGAAUAUUGCACAAUGGGCGCAAGCCGGAUGCAGCGACGCCGCGUGGGGGAUGACGGCGUUCGGGUGGUAAACUCCUUUCAGCCAUGACGAAGCCCUUGUGGUGACGGUAGUGGUAGAAGAAGCACCGGCUAACUACGCG
rnacentral:rRNA from 1 species